UACGUAGGGUGCGAGCGUUGUCCGGAAUUAUUGGGCGUAAAGGGCUCGUAGGCGGUUUGUUGCGUCGGCUGUGAAAAUCCCCGAGGCUCAACCUCGGGGUCUGUAGUCGAUACGAGCAAAACUAGAGUGUUUGCAGGGGGGAGACUGGGAAUUCCUGGUGUAGCGGUGAAAAUGCGCAGAUAUCAGGGAGGGAAACACCCGGGUUGGGCGAAAGGGCGGGGGUCUCUGGGGGCA
rnacentral:rRNA from 1 species